GAUAAACAAAAAAUGCUGGAGUAACUCAGCGGGUCAGGCAGCAUCUCUGGAAAAAGAGGAUGGAAGGAAUGGGUGUCGUUUCGGGUCGAGACCCUUCUUCAGAUUGAAGUCAGGGGAGAGGG